rnacentral:rRNA from 1 species
UACGUAGGGUGCGAGCGUUGUCCGGAAUUAUUGGGCGUAAAGGGCUCGUAGGCGGUUUGUCGCGUCGGGAGUGAAAACCAGGUGCUUAACACCUGGCUUGCUUUCGAUACGGGCAGACUAGAGGUAUUCAGGGGAGAACGGAAUUCCUGGUGUAGCGGUGAAAUGCGCAGAUAUCAGGAGGAACACCGGUGGCGAAGGCGGAUCUCUGGGCCAUUACUGACGCUGAGGAGCGAAAGCGUGGGGAGCGAACAGG